GGGGGAGGGACUCUCGGGAGCCUGGCUGUGAGGGGGCCGCUCGCCGGGGCGGAGGCGGUGCCGGGCUGGACACAGGAUCUUGCCGUUCUAUGCCCACCCGUUUCAGACGUCACUUCCGCGCUGGAAGGGGCGCGGGGUGGGCGGUGGAGCUGAAGGUCUGCGAGGGCCGCCGGCCCUGGGCCUUCAGGGUGGGUUUGCGGCCCCUGCGUACUUUCUGUUGCUCAGCCUCUGCUUUGGCGGCGUUGCCAGGUCUUAAAUACGGAAUUCUCAUAUUGGAAGCUCAAAUGAUCGAAUUAUGCGAAAAACUCACACACGCGAAAAAAAAAAAGGCAAGCACGGUGCUGAGAGUGAGCUUCUGCCUCCUGUGGGCUCAGAUCAAGUGGGGACAUCCGCAUCCCAAGACCUCUCAGCUCACGCCUGCACGUAGGACACCUGCCGAUGGAUUUGGGAGUAUCUGCAGCCCCAGGGCAAGAGCCUGGUCCGAAGGAUGCUUGCGGGUUGUAGCGCUGUACGUGGUGUUUAGAAUGACCGAGUUCUGCCUGCCCAAUGGGUGUCAUUUC